rnacentral:rRNA from 1 species
UACGUAGGGGGCAAGCGUUGUCCGGAUUUAUUGGGCGUAAAGAGCGUGUAGGCGGCCAUACAGGUCAGCUGUGAAAACUCGAGGCUCAACCUCGAGACGUCGGUUGAAACCGUAUGGCUAGAGUCCGGAAGAGGAGAGUGGAAUUCCCGGUGUAGCGGUGAAAUGCGCAGAUAUCGGGAAGAACACCUAUGGCGAAGGCAGCUCUCUGGGACGGCACUGACGCUGAGACGCGAAAGCGUGGGGAGCAAACAGG